UUGUCAGAUUCCUCUCCAUCCUCAUGAUCUCCAAGGACCUGCGGCAUCCGCACGAUACGGGUACGCACUUUGCUUGCUUGUUUACGGGAAGCUAUUGCGCAAUCCGAUCCGUAGGGAUGG
rnacentral:rRNA from 1 species